CAAAAAUUCUGUAUCUGGGAACACUCUCGUGAGAGUAACUGAGCAACUGUUCCCAGAAUGAAGUUUCAAGAUUUAGUCCGGAGUUUUUCUUCUGGCAAAUUCAUGAAAAGUGUCAAACGAUAGGUAGAGUUGCAUUUGUGUACAAAAACAGAACGCGGUGAAAGCAAGUAACCUUACAUUUGUUAAAAAAUGGAAGUAAUGGGCGAUAUUUAUUUAAU